rnacentral:rRNA from 1 species
GUGGGGAAUAUUGGACAAUGGGCGCAAGCCUGAUCCAGCCAUGCCGCGUGUGUGAAGAAGGCCUUUUGGUUGUAAAGCACUUUAAGCGAGGAGGAGGCUCCUUUAGUUAAUACCUAAAGAGAGUGGACGUUACUCGCAGAAUAAGCACCGGCUAACUCUGUGCCAGCAGCCGCGGUAAUACAGAGGGUGCGAGCGUUAAUCGGAUUUACUGGGCGUAAAGAGUGCGUAGGCGGCUUUUUAAGUCGGAUGUGAAAUCUCUGAGAUUAACUUAGGAAUUGCAUUCGAUACUGGAAAGCUAGAGUAUGGGAGAGGAUGGUAGAAUUCCAGGUGUAGCGGUGAAAUGCGUAGAGAUCUGGAGGAAUACCGAUGGCGAAGGCAGCCAUCUGGCCUAAUACUGACGCUGAGGUACGAAAGCAUGGGGAGCAAACAGGAUUAGAAACCCUAGUAGUCC